GCUGUGCAGUUAAGAAGUUCGCUUUGCAGCCGUGGUACCGUUUCAGUCUCACUGCGCGGCACCAUGUGCAAGUAUUUUCUUGGACACCUGGGCCGACUAAUACUAGUAUGUGAAUUUGGUAGAAGGAAAAUGUGCGGAAUGAAGUAUUUUGCUCAAGAACACAACGCGUCGCCCGGUCCAAGAAUCGAAACCACAAUUUUACGAUCGUGAUACUGACACCCUAACCACUGAGCCACGCGCCUCCACACAAUGACCUUUUGGUACUAGUAAAUUAGAAGAAUUGAUAGCUCACUGGAUAAAAACCUGAUGGUGACGAUACUCUCAUGUCGUAGCAUCAACAAGUGACGUGUACAACAUGGAGGACAUGGCCACCACUUUGAGCAUCUCGUGUGAUUGUUGAGUCCAAAGGCGUCAAAGCUAAAUUUGCAAAGCCAAACCUCUAAAAACGGUGAAAAUCCUGCUGAGAGAGAAAUCUAGCAUAUGAUGAACUGUCACGCAUUCUGAGUGGAAGAAGAAGAAGAAGAAGAAGAAGAAGAAGAAGAAGAAGAAGAAGAAGAAGAAGAAGAAGAAGAAGAAGACAACAACAACAACAACAACAAGUGCAAGUAUAUUUUUUACACUUUUAUUAAGCUUUGAACCAUACACUACAAACGCACAGAACCACAGAGACACUACAUGAACAUUUUUUGUUUUUUUAAAGGGAAAGAAAACGAAAA